CGGAAUUACUGGGCGUAAAGCGCACGUAGGCGGAUUGUUAAGUCGGGGGUGAAAUCCUGGAGCUCAACUCCAGAACUGCCUUCGAUACUGGCGAUCUCGAGUUCGAGAGAGGUGAGUGGAACUGCGAGUGUAGAGGUGAAAUUCGUAGAUAUUCGCAAGAACACCAGUGGCGAAGGCGGCUCACUGGCCCGAUACUGACGCUGAGGUGCGAAAGCGUGGGGAGCAAACAGG
rnacentral:rRNA from 1 species